UCCGGUUUGUCACCGGCAGUCUCCCUAGAGUGCCCCUCGCGGUAGCAACUAGGGACAAGGGUUGCGCUCGUUGCGGGACUUAACCCAACAUCUCACGACACGAGCUGACGACAGCCAUGCAGCACCUGUGUUGAGGCUCCCUUUCGGGCACCCCCGCAUCUCUGCAGGGUUCCUCACAUGUCAAGGGUAGGUAAGGUUGUUCGCGUUGCAUCGAAUUAAUCCACAUCAUCCACCGCUUGUGCGGGUCCCCGUCAAUUCCUUUGAGUUUUAACCUUGCGGCCGUACUCCCCAGGCGGAGCACUUCACGCGUUAGCUACGCUACUAGAGGAUCGCUCCCCCAACAGCUAGUGCUCAUCGUUUAGGGCGUGGACUAC
rnacentral:misc_RNA from 1 species